GAUGAAUAAAACUUGGUGAUAUCUUUCACUCAUUCGCUUCAUUCGCUGUGUAUAAAUUAAACAUAUUCCUCAUCGGAACACAUUCCUAGUUCUGAUUAAUUAAGUGUUCCGUUGUACCGGAAAAUUCCAGAUGGACCCGAAGUGAUAGCUAAUGCAAUGUCCCUAUACAACAUGGGCACACGAAUUGAACUGGGAACCAGAACUCCAUCAAAAGUAUGAGUACCCAACGGUGGCGCCACCGCAUUUAAGCAGAUAUCGUGGUACUUUUGGACCAUUUCGAGGAUGUAGUUAACAACAUCAUGAUCCUUCUUUAGCUCCUCUAUUGCGACUUGGAAACCUUUUACCACUAAGCCGUACAAAUCCCCGCAAAGUUGAACAUUCGUGUUCCCACUGUUGCUAAUGUGGAGAAGGUUGUUAAAUGAAGCCAGGGUUACAUUUGCAUUUUCUUUUGCCAAUUCAAGAGUGGCUAUGCCGAGAUCUUUGAGAUUCAAUGCGGAUUUAAUUCGAGCAUCCGCCCAGAGAGCUUUCACACAUUCGCCAUAGUUUAAGUUCAUGGAUAGGGGUUCCUUACAAACACUUUCAACUAAUGGAUACGCUGUUGCAUUUGCGUGUGUAGGAGAAGAGAGAAACAUGAGAAAGGAUGCAGUGAACAAUACAUAACGUAAAUGUUGUGUGGAGGCCAUAUUGGUCAAUUUCUAUGUGAUAUUUUUGGUGCCAAAAUAGACCUUGCAAUAUUGCUA
rnacentral:lncRNA from 1 species